GAGUGCAAUGAUACUAGCGUUAAUGCACCGGAUCCCAUUAAAACUCCAUAGUUAAGCGUGCUUGGGAUAGAGUAGUACUGGGAUGGGUGACCUCUCGAGAAGUCCUAGUGUUUAACUCU
rnacentral:rRNA from 1 species